rnacentral:lncRNA from 1 species
GCUUUCUGUUUCACUGGGAAACAGAAGCAAUCAGAAGGAAACUUCCUCAGACUCCACCUCUCCCUUCACUCCCGCCUGUAUCCGUGCCUGUUACCUGGACGCCUUGUGGAACUUGAAUUCUACGCCCUCCACUGGGACACUGCCCUUCAUCCUCUCUCACCUCCUCCAGGACAACAAAUGUUGUAGUCCUCAUCAUCAGCAGAGACUUUGUGCCAUCCUCUGCUAUAUUAUCCUGAAGAGUGCCUGGCUCAUGCUGCAGUGUUCUGAAUAGCAGUCCAGCUAUGAGGGGAGGUGCCCGUGGCAGGCCUCAGCUGACCCUGGAGAGGCCAUUAAGACCUGGCUGUCGCCUCCACAGCUGCUCGGAGGCAGAGAAAGGUGGCUUUGUAAGAAGAAAAGAGAUCAUUCUUUUUCCACCAUGUGAGGACCCAGCAAGAGGGUGGCUGUCUGCAAACCCAGGGAGAGAGCCCUCACCAGGAAUCUGCUGGCACCUUAAUCUUGGACUUCCCAGCCUCCACAACUGUGAGGAAUAAAUGUAUGUUGUUUAAGCCA